UCCCUGCUCCGCAUGGAGAAGAAACACUGACCUCUGGGACUGUUCUUCUACACGGCGCUAUCACCAUCGGCGACUAGUCACCGUGAUAUUUCUCAAGAUAGUAUCUUCGGCAUGUUGCGGUUCCAACGGACCCAAGCUUGACCAGAACCGAGGUCUGAGCUGGCCAGAAUCAACCAAACCCCAGCCGCAUGUAUGCUGUCUCUGUGUCGCCCUUCCCCUGUUCGCGUGAAGGAGCAGACCUCUGCCGCCAUUGUUCAUCUGCGUGGCGUUGUUACCACCGGCGACCAUUCACCGAGAAAUUGCUCAGGUCACACCCUACGAUGUUGCGCUUCCAACCGACCCAAGCUCGACCGGAGUGGUGGUCGGUGUCCGCCGGAAUCACGAGAUUCCAGUCCUCCUGUCUGUUGUUCCUGAGUCGGAAGUUGGAACUUUUGUAGGAUUCCAACGUUGGUGUUACAGGAAAUGUGACCGCUUAUAUUGCUGCGCUUUCAUAGGAUUCCAAUGUUCAUAUUGCAUCCUCCAAUCCAUAGAAGGGUGAAGUAUCCCCUUUGUUCUUCCUUUUUUUUUGACCAAUCAUGGCCAGAUAUGUCAGUAGUUAAGGUUUUCCAAUUUUCUAGAUGGUGAGUGACUUGCACGAUUUCAUUAACCAUUUCAUUGAUGUGAAGGAUCUCUGAAUUAGGUUGGGUCCUCUAAUCUGCUGCAUUUCUUUGAUGGGCUUUCUCUCCACAACAACUUUUGCAUUAAUGUUAAAGUAAACUCAGUUGGAUAUUGAAGUGCUUGAUGAUCACAAAUGUGAGCUAGAGGUAUGCUUAGUAUGGUGUCAAAGAGAAAUUCAUAUGUACUACUGAUUCAACUAGAACACAUCUUUAGU